rnacentral:lncRNA from 1 species
UGUCUGUAGCAGCCUUUACUAAAAGUGGGUAAGAUGACAUGGGCUUAUAUAGCAAAAAUGCAACACUACAGCAGACAUGCAAGAGCUUUAAAGAAAAUAAAAAGUGUGGUCGAGUCUACUGCUCGGGCUCUGGCCCCAUGGGAAAGCCAUUCUCCACACUUAACAAGUAGACAAACAACAAAAUGCAAAGCUUCUCUGCAGGCCGACCUCCUCUUUCCCUCAGGGUCUCCUCUUGAUGCCUGAGACACCUCCAUCCACUUCUUGCCUCGAGGACCUACAGUUCUCAACAUGGAGUGCAGACCCCUCACCCUUCUGGCAUGGUUCUGCAUGAUCUUCACAAACUGACACCAAUGCUGGACCUCCUCAGCCCCCUCUGAGGGACCUUGAUGGCUUUCCGUUCCUCUUCCCACAAACGACAGGUCACCUUCUCCUUCUUCCUCAGUCCAAAGGAAGCUCCAGGCACUCUGCUCUGUGUUGCUUGGCUUCAUUGUCUGAAGCGCUUCAGAAGUUAACUAUGACACAGCAAGUAUACAAAUGCAUUACCAAUCACAGCAAUAUAGCUGGGCUCUCUAGGCCACACUUUCUUCUUUAAAAUAAACAGCGAGGCUUGUCUGGAGUCCUAACUUCUUGAAAAGCAAAGGCAAGGUUACACAGAAACCCAGAAGCUAAAGAUCAGCACAGACAAGAAUGCGAGACCUCUAUCAGUGACACUGUCAGUUCCAUGAAGAUGCACUCUUCUGGACCAUGUAAUAUGAGUUCUCAUGGAGUGGGUACAAAGCAGGCAUGACCAAAACUGUGGCACAAGAGGAGGUACUUAUUAGUGGUCUCUUAUAAAGUUAGCCACAGGUAGCCAUUAGGAAAUAGGAAGGACAUUAUUAGUUACAGAAGGCUAUGGGCAGUCAGUGAGCCAGGAAGGCUAGACUCAGGUCAGGUCAGAGGGGAAGCUUGUGCUCAACAACACUAAGAGUCAACAUCAUUACCAACCUACAGCUUGUGUUCAGGGAAAGGGUUGUGUCUACCAUUUUUCUAUGGCCAGGAGGCUGCCUCCAUGCUACCUCCAGGGGCCUGUCUGGCCCUGGACCC